rnacentral:rRNA from 1 species
CCUACGGGGGGCAGCAGUGGGGAAUAUUGCACAAUGGGCGAAAGCCUGAUGCAGCAACGCCGCGUGAAGGAAGACGGUUUUCGGAUUGUAAACUUCUGUUCUUAGUGAAGAAUAAUGACGGUACUAAGGCGCACGCCACGGCUAACUACGUGCCCGCCGCCGCGGUAAUACGUAGGUGGCAAGCGUUGUCCGGAAUUACUGGGUGUAAGGGGAGCGUAGGCGGGAAGCCAAGUCAGCUGUGAAAACUACGGGCUUAACCAGUAGACUGCAGUUGAAACUGGCUUUGUUGAGUGAAGUAGAGGUUGGCGGAAUGCGGAGUGGAGCGGUGAAAUGCGUAGAUAUUCGGAGGAACACCGAUGGCGAAGGCGGCCAACUAAGCUGUAACUGACGCUGAGGCUCGAAAGUGUGGGGAGCAAACAGGAUUAGAUACCCCUGUAGUC